UACGGAGGGAGCUAGCGUUGUUCGGAAUUACUGGGCGUAAAGCGCGCGUAGGCGGCUUUGUAAGUUAGAGGUGAAAGCCUGGAGCUCAACUUCAGAAUUGCCUUUAAGACUGCAUCGCUUGAAUCCGGGAGAGGUGAGUGGAAUUCCGAGUGUAGAGGUGAAAUUCGUAGAUAUUCGGAAGAACACCAGUGGCGAAGGCGGCCCGCUGGACAAGUAUUGACGCUGAGGUGCGAAAGCGUGGGGAGCAAACAGG
rnacentral:rRNA from 1 species